AGCAAAGAAGGCGAGAAAAAGUGAGCUGCGUCUAACAUGCCACAGGUUAGCAUGAAACGACAGAAAUUUGGGCUGGAAACAGGGCAUCGCUGAACUCCUGCCUUGGCUGUCUGCCCACACAAACAGAGGGAUUCAGCUGCACAUCCCUGGCUAUCCUGUGCCUGCUCCUAUCUCCUGGUCCCUCCUAUCUCCUGGUCCAUCUGGAGCUGGGGGAGUGCUCGGAGCAGAAGGCUCCAUCAGCUGCCUCACACCACACUGGGGUCAAAAACCAAGUCAGAUGGAUACAACAGCACUGGGGCUGCUGUUCCCAUUUUCCCAAAGGAAGGGUGAGCAAGCUGAGGACAUUGCCCAGGAUGCUAUUCCCACCUGGUCAGGGAGUGGCAGCUCAUCCCACCUCUCCUAGACCACCCGUGUAGGAAGGGUUGGCCCUGCUCAAGGCAAAGAGGUAGGGAAUGGAGGGAGAACUACCCAUGCUAAGCUGGCUACAGGGACAGGGAGAGGAAAACAAAGCAAACAUGGGCUCAGGGUGGCUGGAUGUUGGACAUCUGUAUCUGGAAGGGUGGUAAAGAAGCAUGGAAGAUCAAAUGAAGAUGGGAAACCAGUCUGAAGGUGCCAAAGGUUAGCGCAGUCCAGGGUGCAAGACAGACGCACACAGCAAAGGAGAAUGGACACAAUGCAAAUAAAAACCCAAUGCCUGGAAAAAAAUUAAGAAAGAUGAGGUACUCUGCAAAACAUCAUGAGUAUGAAGACACUUUCCUUCGCUGCAGAAACUGUAACAGUACCGAUGCUGCAAAGUAAGGAAAUCAGCUACCAAAACACAAAAACCAAACCAAGCAAAACCACAUGUCGAGAAGCAAAUGGUAAGAUCGCAAAUAAAAAAGCUGACCAAUGACAUUCAACGGGCAAAAUAAGAAAACACAGAGAAAAAAAAAAGUGUGCCAGAUUUGUCUCUUGUAGGCUUUUUAAAGUUUCAUUAAUUCAAUUACUUAAGUACUUUUAAUAGAGCUGAUGAAAUACGGCGUCAUUUUGUUUGCAUCAAAAGUGGUGUGUCACAUUCAGGAAGUUUUUCCUGGGAUGUGCCGGGCAUCAGCCGCUUUGGCAGGGGCGUGUGCUUUGGGUGAAUGCAUGUGCUCUUAGUUCAUGGCUGGAAAAUGCUUUGAAGAUGGAAAAAGCACCACGUAACGCAGUAAGUAACGAGCAGGAAUACCGUCCUCACGGCGCACGCCGAACCACCGACGCUUCCAAAGAAAAUAGGUUGCAUCGCCUUUACCUUGCAAGCGUACCCUGGGAGAUGCUGCUGAGGGCAUGAGGAAGAGGAGGGAAAGUAUUUUUUUUAAAAAGUCGUUUCACAGCACAACGUGAGGCCUCGGGGAAGAAGCCAGAGACUGGCUGGCUGUGUUGUUUUUUUUUUGCCUCGCACGGGGCACAGAGCUCCAGCUAGGAAAGGCAGCAGGUAGGAAAAAGCUCAGGGGAUGCCAGGUGCCGAAUUCGCAGCCAUUUCCAGUCUCGCUUAAGAGGUUAUAGGGUUUCCCACCAGCACGCUACACAAACAGCACUGAAGCACGUAUCAGUCUGAUGCUACCGAUGAAGAUGAAGCCUAUAAAGUGCCAGGAAUAUAAAAAACAAAAAAAAAGAAUUGGAAAACCACAUACAGCCGUUGUGCAUACAGAACCCAGACAGCAGUGUUCACGUCCUAACAAACUGCAGUGCAUGAGAGACCCCUCCCUUCCCAUGGAAAGCCAAACUUCAUUGCUUUCCUGCUGAUGUACAAAGUCUUGCCCAACACAUGCCUGAAGUUUGGUACAGGUGAGCAGGUGCAGGAAUGAGAAACAUCGCAGGCCUUGGAGCUCUGCGUGCGCAUCGCAAAGCCGCUCCCAUUAAACCCACAAAUACUUAACACAGCUAUUAAACCAGAUGCCCUGCACACACCCCGAUAAAUUACUCCUAACUGUGUUAAAGAUCAAUCUCAACAGCUUUGGUCUCAUCCAGAUGGCGUGAAAGGAACAGUUCAAAAUGGAAGAAUCCAAAACAAUCUCAUCCCUCGCCCCGGUGCCGGGCUGAGAGCAUCGCCGCAUGCCGUGCCCCUUGCAGCCCUGCGCCGCCUCCAUCGGGUGCUCCCACAGAGCCCAGCUGCUCCCCGAGCUGAGCUGUGUUACCACAGCACCUGCGGAAGUGGUGGAAAGAUCUUCCAGCAAGCAUUCAAUGCUGGGGUCUGAGUUACAAUGAAGUAUAUAGAAGUGAAAGAUGCUCGGUGCUCCCAGCUCCCCAGUUAAUUCAACUGCAGCUGAGCGAAGAGCCAGGAGAGCUCGCCUGGCUUCUGUCUCGUCCCACAAGAGCUGAUCCCCACAUCACUCCAUGGACUGGGGAGGAACCAGUGUUUGUCUUGAACCUUUCCUCGUAAGCUCCCUAACCUUCUGUCACCAACAAUUUGCAAUUAGCAUUUUCUUAAGAUGAGCUGACCCAUGUAACACCAACCAGCGUUACACCAACCAGCUGCCCUCAGCAUUAUCCUCAUCAGUAGCACGUGCCACGAAACCUGCUGCAGCAUCCACAGCAGACAGAUACUUCUUGAACUUGGGUGAGACUACAAUGUGACCCAGUUUUCCCCCACAAGAGCAAUUCAUGCUCCUGGUCUGCCUGCGCCUGUCCCCAUCAUCCACAGCGCAGCCCCCAUGGCUCAAUCCCCCUCAGUCCCACCACGCAGCCAUUUUUCAUCUCCCCCUGAAGCUGGGACAAGCUUCAGUUCAACAGACAGACACCCCCCCAAAAAAAAUCACCCAAAGUUUCUCCCUGUUCUUGGUGCAGGAGAGCAGGAUGGCACCACAGCGUAGCCACGUGCGAUAACAUCACACUGGCCAUGGCCCAGGAGCUGAAUCAGGCCAGGUGCUGUGCACAGCACCAGCCCCCACCUCCCUCUCAUGGUGCCUUCAGUACACCCUGCCAGGUAAGCUGUAAUUUGCAUUAACUAUUUUCUCCUGUUCUGCAUACCUAAAUAUUCAUGCUUAAAGGACUCAGAGCAGACAGGGGAUAAAGCCAGCUGUAUGAACUGGUGCUGAGCAUUACUUGAAAGGCAUUUACCCUGGGAAAGCUCCGCCGUACAGGACACCACCCCCAGAGGUGCAGGACCAUUGCUAGAGCUUUGCCAGAGCUGAUGUUUGUACUGGGAAAGGCUCUGAGGAGGACAGGUCAUGUCGUGUCACAUUGUGAUCUCCACAGCUGAGCUCAGAAGCAGAAUACCUGCUUGAAAAGCAAAUUUAGGGGAUGGGGCUGCUCCAAACAGCCCUCACGUCCUGUCCCCCCCGCCCAGCUCACCCUCAUGUGCAGCCCUGCGGCUGGGACUGACCCGAGUUAAAAAUAAUGCUCUUUCCACAGCUUAUUUUUAACCCGGCCCAGCCCCUGCAGCCAGCUCCUGUGCGCCACACGAACCAGGACAGGGCAGGGGGCAGCUCCUUACGGCCACAAGCAGAAGGCCUGAUUCACUGCUGCCGAUAUUAAUUAAAAGCCUUGCAGUUACUUCACUUGCUAAACUGGCUCAGAGAAGUUGUACUUCUCAGGGUUAAUUCUGAAAAGGAGGGUUUCUGAAUUACCACUCUUAACCCAGCAAUUAAAGUUUGGUUUUCAGGUGCGCCAGGUGCUCCCAAAUGAAGAGGAGCUUCUGGGGAAAAAGAAAUCAAAGGCAAGCUGUGAUGCUCUCCACAACUGUAGGACAUCAAAUAAGACCCCGAGGGUGAAAAAUUGCUUGUCACAGCAAAAUGCUGCUGCUGGAGAGGGGAAGGCAGGGAUCCUUUAACCUGUCAUUAACCAGCAGAGGGCAACAUUGCCUAUCACGAGGGGAAACGUUAUCAGAAAAGUCACUGCCAACUCCUACUUAUUCAGUAACGUGUGGAUUUCGUGUUUAAAGCAAAGUGAGAGCACGAUUCCUGGAUCGGGUGGACACUUUUGGGGAGCCACCAGACACAGCCGAGGGACCCGUAUUCACUCCUGGAACAUGGAAAUAACACGCAGGAGUAGCACAGGAGUGUCAGAAGGGCAAGGCAGAUGACAGUCCGGCUGAGGUGGGACAGCAAACUAGGGUUUGGCACAUCAUCCUCGGGCUGCAGAAGCACCUCCUGUUCCUGCCCUGGCAGGGGAACCAGCCUGGGCAGCAGCACCCAGCAUUAGCCAGCAGAGAAGGGGUCAGGUGAACAGGAGAUGUGGGCAAAUGCCCACAGCUUCUGGAUCGACUGCGGUAAUUUGUGAUCAGGUUUUCUUAAGAGGAAAGGCAACAGCCAAAUGAAGGAAAAAGUCCUUGGAAUUUACACCAACAGCACAGAACAGGCUGGGUUGGUUUCCUGCUUCUCCCUUACUGGUUUCACGCCCUGCAAGCUACAUUAUGAAGCAGCAUAGUCCGUAACAAGCACGUUUCUUCUUGGAGCUAAACCACAGAAGCCAAGCAAAGAUGGAAGUAGCACUCAAGGUAUUUAAUGAAAGGAAGACUUUGAUGGCUGCUGUGUUUUCAAAAUCUGAAGAUGAAUCUUCCCAAGAUAAAAAUCUUCUACAUUUUCAGUCCCAUUCUGUAGCUACGUCUAAGACUGAAGCCUAGAAGUUCAUGAACACUACCCAAGCUUGCAAGCAAUACCAGAUGAAAUCAAAACAACGAAGUGAAUUUCAAGCUCUCAGCUACUCUCCUGAACAUUCACCUCCCAGUUUAUAUGGAAGAAUUAAAAAAAUCUCCUUUACUGAAGCUCAGUAUACGAUCAGAUCCUUACCAUCAAGGUACUGAUGGCAAGCAGUAAUAAGAAAUGUAUGUACUGAUUAGCAGACUAAUUCUGGGAGGUGUCUAAGUACUUAACAGGGCAUGUCCAAAUAAAUGAAGAUAAAGAAGUGUAAUCUGGUGAGAAGUAGUAUUAUUAAGGAAAGCCUGGCCAAAGUCUUUUCAAGAAAAAAUGUCUAGUCCUACAAUCCUAUAAGAGACUGGAGGAAAUGCUGAGCUUCGGCAUGUGGUUUUUCUCCAUUUGCCUCCUAUGAAAUGGUUUCAUAGGUAAGUCCAAAACAAUUGUUAAACAUCCAUAGUCUAGCUUGCUUUGGACAGAAACUUGCUGCAGAAUACGUACUCUCACACAGGCAAACAGCAGAACUCUCCUGCUGAGUAAGACAACUAUCACAACCGCAUGACAAAUGCAGCUAGUUUCUGUACUGGUUUUUGUUCAGAGUAAAGGGCAGCCUCUACCUACAUGAAAGAAGUUUGCCAGAGGUGGCUGUGGUGAGUUAAACAAAUGCCUGAUAAAUAAGCAAGUUAACCUUACUCCAUGCAUCAGUUACAAUGAUCACCACAGACACUUCACAUAUUUCUGGAAAAAAAAAAACCUGAAAGACCACUGAUCUGCUCAGCUUCUCUACCAGAUGUGUUAAAGCUUCUGCAGGCAUAUGAUUUUUUUUUUCUCCAGGUAAACUCCCCUCAAAUUUCAAUCAAGCUCAUGACUACAGCUGAGACAGAAGAACUUCAUUCCGAAUCUGCUGCUUUGCAUCUUUAGCUAUUUCGGUAACAGCUUCAGGCGACGAGGUUACAGACAACCAAAAUAACUCUCUCUAUAACUCUCUUCUGGCCAUCAGGAACACGUGUUUCAAAAUUUGAACUUUCUGACCAGUCACACAAGCUGCAUUCCUCACCCAUACUAUUAACUCAUUCAAAAUUUUUUUUACAAAUGGGAAACAAUGCGGAUUUCACAUUUGAUGUUCAACAUUCAAUAAAAGGAGGAAC